rnacentral:rRNA from 1 species
CCUACGGGGGGCAGCAGUGGGGAAUAUUGGACAAUGGGGGGAACCCUGAUCCAGCCAUGCCGCGUGUGUGAAGAAGGCCCUCGGGUUGUAAAGCACUUUCAGUGAGGAAGAACGCCUGGUGGUUAAUACCCAUCAGGAAAGACAUCACUCACAGAAGAAGCACCGGCUAACUCCGUGCCAGCAGCCGCGGUAAUACGGAGGGUGCGAGCGUUAAUCGGAAUUACUGGGCGUAAAGCGCGCGUAGGUGGCUUGAUAAGCCGGUUGUGAAAGCCCCGGGCUCAACCUGGGAACGGCAUCCGGAACUGAGAGGGUAGCGGGGAGGAGAGGAGGGGAGAUGCCCGGGGGGAGCGGUGACCGGCGGAGAGAUCGGGAGGAAGGGCAGUGGCGAAGGGGGAAUUCGGGACUGACACUGACACUGAGGUGCGUAAGCGUGGGUAGCAAACCGGAUUAGAGACCCGAGGGGUC